UACGAAGGGGGCUAGCGUUGCUCGGAAUUACUGGGCGUAAAGCGCACGUAGGCGGCUUUCUAAGUCGGGGGUGAAAUCCUGGAGCUCAACUCCAGAACUGCCUUCGAUACUGGAGAGCUCGAGUCCGGGAGAGGUGAGUGGAACUGCGAGUGUAGAGGUGAAAUUCGUAGAUAUUCGCAAGAACACCAGUGGCGAAGGCGGCUUACUGGUCCGGUUCUGACGCUGAGGCGCGAAAGCGUGGGGAGCGAACAGG
rnacentral:rRNA from 1 species